rnacentral:tRNA from 1 species
GCCCACAUAGCUCAGUGGUAGAGCACACCCUUGGUAAGGGUGGGGUCACCAGUUCGAAUCUGGUUGUGGGCU